GGAUAGCUCAGUCAGUUAGAGCAUAGUACUGAUAAUGCCAAGGUUGCAGGUUCGAUCCCCAUGUGGGACA